UGAAAUAAAAAAAAGUGUCAGAAAUACAAGAAGCUACACAAGAGCAUCUAGAGCCGGAUCCCUCAUACCUGUCUCAAACGUCCGGACAGGACGUCCGGUCAUUGAUCGGUCACAAAACUUCAAUCCAACCGGGCGCCUCAAAUGGGCCUCAAACGUUCGGGCUGACCGGCACCUCUCAUAUCCAGCCCAAAUAUGGGAUGAAUAUGGGGGCGCCCGGACAUGCCCGUCUUGUUGGGAAACUUUGCAUGAGAAACAAAAAAGAUCCUACAAACAUCCAAGAUCUAUCUACGGAGAUGCAUAACAACGAGAGGGGAGAGUGUGUCUAUGUAUCCUCUUAAACCGUUAAGCGGAAAGCGUAUAUUACGCGGUUGAUGUAAUCAUACUCUUCAUGAUCUGAUCGUGAUCCAAUUCGAUCCAGCGGCGAACGAAUGUCACCUCCUCGUUCAGCACACGUGCGGGUCGAUGACGUGUCCGCCUCCUUGAUCCAGCAAGUGAGGGCUAAGAAGUGGAUGGGAUCUCGACCAACACGACAGUGUGAUGAAGAUUGGAGGUGGUGUAGUGCGAGAAGAGCUUCGCUAAGAGCCUCUAGAACGACGAACGAGGAAGAACUCGGGAAGAUGGAAUAGGGACUACCCAAAGAAGGGAGAAG
rnacentral:lncRNA from 1 species